rnacentral:rRNA from 1 species
GUAGGGUGGGCAAGCGUUGUCCGGAAUUAUUGGGCGUAAAGCGCGCGCAGGCGGUCCUUUAAGUCUGAUGUGAAAGCCCACGGCUCAACCGUGGAGGGUCAUUGGAAACUGGGGGACUUGAGUACAGAAGAGGAAAGCGGAAUUCCAAGUGUAGCGGUGAAAUGCGUAGAGAUUUGGAGGAACACCAGUGGCGAAGGCGGCUUUCUGGUCUGUAACUGACGCCGAGGCGCGAAAGCGUGGGGAGCAAACAGGAUUAGAUACCCUGGUAGUCCACGCCGUAAACGAUGAGUGCUAAGUGUUAGGGGGUUUCCGCCCCUUAGUGCUGCAGCUAACGCAUUAAGCACUCCGCCUGGGGAGUACGGCCGCAAGGCUG